rnacentral:rRNA from 1 species
UGGGGAAUUUUGGACAAUGGGGGGAAACCCUGAUCCAGCCAUCCCGCGUGUGCGAUGAAGGGCCUUCGGGUUGUAAAGCACUUUUUGGCAGGAAAGUAAACGUCGCGGGUUAAUACCCCGCGGAACUGACGGUACCUGCAGAAUAAGCACCGGCUAACUACGUGCCAGCAGCCGCGGUAAUACGUAGGGUGCAAGCGUUAAUCGGAAUUACUGGGCGUAAAGCGUGCGCAGGCAGGUUUCGGAAAAGAAAGAUGUGAAAAUCCCAGAGCUUAACUUUGGAACUGCAUUUUUAACUACCGGGCUAGAGUGUGUCAGAGGGAGGUGGAAUUCCGCGUGUAGCAGUGAAAAUGCGUAGAUAUGCGGAGGAACACCGAUGGCGAAGGCAGCCUCCUGGGAUAACACUGACGCUCAUGCACGAAAAGCGUGGGGGAGCAAAACAGGAUUAGAUACCCUGGUAGUCCACGCCCUAAAACGAUGUCAACUAGCUGUUGGGGUCUUCGGACCUUGGUAGCGCAGCUAACGCGUGAAGUUGACCGCCUGGGGAGUACGGUCGCAAGAUU